rnacentral:rRNA from 1 species
GUAGUCAUAUGCUUGUCUCAAAGAUUAAGCCAUGCAUGUCUAAGUAUAAGCAAUUAUACAGCGAAACUGCGAAUGGCUCAUUAUAUAAGUUAUCGUUUAUUUGAUAGUACCUUACUACUUGGAUAACCGUGGUAAUUCUAGAGCUAAUACAUGCUAAAAAUCCCGACUUCGGAAGGGAUGUAUUUAUUAGAUUAAAAACCAAUGCCCUCUGGGCUCCUUGGUGAUUCAUAAUAACUUUUCGAAUCGCAUGGCCUUGCGCCGGCGAUGGUUCAUUCAAAUUUCUUCCCUAUCAACUUUCGAUGUUUGGGUAUUGGCCAAACAUGGUCGCAACGGGUAACGGAGGGUUAGGGCUCGACCCCGGAGAAGGAGCCUGAGAAACGGCUACUACAUCCAAGGAAGGCAGCAGGCGCGCAAAUUACCCAAUCCCGAUUCGGGGAGGUAGUGACAAUAAAUACUGAUACAGGGCUCUUUUGGGUCUUGUAAUUGGAAUGAGUACAAUUUAAAUCCCUUAACGAGGAACAAUUGGAGGGCAAGUCUGGUGCCAGCAGCC